rnacentral:miRNA from 1 species
CCGGGAGAGGCGCGGGGCGGGAGGGGCCGGGCGGCCGCGGGGCCUCCGAGAGGCCAGCUCCGGCCUGG